AUUUUUUUCUGGAAUCAAUUGUGGAUAACAGCAUUUCUUAAUCACUGAAAUGUGAGAGGUUUUCCCAUUAUACAGUACCUAUAAUCACUUAUGACAGAGACAUAUAACUAUAUAAUGUAGGGCCUAUAUACUACAAUGUCAGAACGCGAAUCAACACCGCAUCUCAUGGUAUCCAAAAUUCAAAACAGGUAUCGUCAGGGUACUAUAGGAUACUGCAAAUCUCGAACCCUGACCAAGUUCAAUUUGUGUUUUGUAGAGGUGUUGGUUGAAGUUCAGUCAUUGAGCAUUGACCCUUAUAUGAGGUACAGUACUCAUUACUGCUAGGGCUCUAUUUUUUUCAUUACCAAUUUUAAAGUUUAUUUAUGGUGAACAAGACACAUACAAUUACAAGUAUACAUGUUUUGUUUUAGACCAUACACACCACUGAUAUGUAAAGAGGGUGAUGAUAUGAUCAAUUAUUAUGUUGCAGGAAAGUAUGUUAACUUACAAUUGUUCGAAUAUGUUAUACACCAUGCAAACGGUUGUGGAAGUAAUCCCCAGAGUAGAUGUCAGGUCUUGAUUUAAAUCAGGUAGUCUACAUCAUCAUGCCAUUGUGCAAUAUUGACAAAAACAAAAAUCCAUAUUCUUUUCACAAAUCGAG